UAUGUGCGGGUUCCUGGACUCAGUGG
rnacentral:piRNA from 1 species